GAUGAACGCUAGCGGCAGGCUUAAUACAUGCAAGUCGAGGGACAGCACAGGUAGCAAUACUGGGUGGUAACCGGCAAACGGGUGCGGAACACGUACACAACCUUCCUUUAAGUGGGGGAUAGCCCAGAGCAAUUUGGAUUAAUACCCCGUAAUAUAGUUGAAUGGCAUCAUUUGAUUAUUAUAGCUACGGCGCUUAAUGAUGGGUGUGCGGCUGAUUAGAUAGUUGGCGGGGUAACGGCCCACCAAGUCUACGAUCAGUAGCUGAUGUGAGAGCAUGAUCAGCCACACGGGCACUGAGACACGGGCCCGACCCCUACGGGAGGCAGCAGUAAGGAAUAUUGGUCAAUGGACGCAAGUCUGAACCAGCCAUGCCGCGUGAAGGAUUAAGGUCCUCUGGAUUGUAAACUUCUUUUAUUUGGGACGAGAAAGGGCCUUUCUAGGUCAACUGACGGUACCAGAUGAAUAAGCACCGGCUAACUCCGUGCCAGCCGCCGCGGUAAAAC
rnacentral:rRNA from 1 species